rnacentral:pre_miRNA from 1 species
GGCCCUGUCCUUCACCCCUGCCCUGUCCCCUGCGCCUUGGGCGGGCGGCCGUUAAGACUUGCAGUGAUGUUUAACUCCUCUCCACGUGAACAUCACAGCAAGUCUGUGCUGCUUCCCGUCCCUACGCUGCCUGGGCAGGGUUUGGGGGCAAGGGGUGGGAGCC